UACGAAGGGGGCUAGCGUUGCUCGGAAUCACUGGGCGUAAAGCGCACGUAGGCGGAUCUUUAAGUCAGGGGUGAAAUCCUGGAGCUCAACUCCAGAACUGCCUUUGAUACUGGGGAUCUCGAGUCCGGGAGAGGUGAGUGGAACUGCGUGUGUAGAGGUGAAAUUUGUAGAUAUUCGCAAGAACACCAGUGGCGAAGGCGGCUCACUGGCCCGGUACUGACGCUGAGGUGCGAAAGCGUGGGGAGCAAAUAGG
rnacentral:rRNA from 1 species